rnacentral:rRNA from 1 species
GACGAACGCUGGCGGCGUGCUUAACACAUGCAAGUCGAACGGAAAGGCCCUGCUUUUGUGGGGUGCUCGAGUGGCGAACGGGUGAGUAACACGUGAGUAACCUGCCCUUGACUUUGGGAUAACUUCAGGAAACUGGGGCUAAUACCGGAUAGGAGCUCCUGCUGCAUGGUGGGGGUUGGAAAGUUUCGGCGGUUGGGGAUGGACUCGCGGCUUAUCAGCUUGUUGGUGGGGUAGUGGCUUACCAAGGCUUUGACGGGUAGCCGGCCUGAGAGGGUGACCGGCGCCACUGGGAGAGAGAUACGGGCCAGAGACCUCUGGGAGAGAGAAGAGGGGAAUAUUGUACAAUGGGCGGAAGCCUGAUGCAGCAACGCCGCGUGCGGGAUGACGGCCUUCGGGUUGUAAACCGCUUUCGCCUGUGACGAAGCGUGAGUGACGGUAAUGGGUAAAGAAGCACCGGCUAACUACGUG